UUAAUCGAUUAAUCGAAUACUUCCUACAGAAAUCGAUUAUUAAUCGAACGAAUACUGCGCAACCAAUAAUCGAAGCGAACGAAUAAUUUGCGUCGAUUAAUCGAUCCAAACCCAGAAGAAAAAAAAAUACGACCGCUGCUGUUUUAUUUUUUUAUAAGUUAUUUUGAUUAUAUUUGAUUUACCAUGUAGUGGCUCACCCCACUUCGUAAACACCUUGAUCUGCAUGUCUUGUCAGUGGGCUUUGUCAUUAGUCAUUUUGUUUCAACAGUGCUAGGGUUCAGACUGUAAUCGCGACUUAUGGCGCAAAAAGCGAAUUGGAAGCGAAAGUGAAAGAAAUAUUUUUGCGGAGAAAAUUUAACAAAUACUGCAGGUUCAGAUAUCCAGGGAGAUUGAAAUCCUGUUCCAGAGAAAAAAGGACAGCGUUGCCUUUUCUUCACGGCCAUUUUGAGCGCGUUUUUUCAGAUUGAAUAUCGAUUGGAACCGAAGAAGCCUAAUUGGGAAAAAUUCGCGAUGUCAGAAACACCUUCGACAAAAAAUCAAGAAAAAUCCAAAAUCAGUCCGGCUUGGGAGUUCUUUAAAAAAAUUGAGGGGAACAAAGUACAAUGU